UGAGGAAUAUUGGUCAAUGGACGUAAGUCUGAACCAGCCAAGUAGCGUGCAGGAUGACGGCCCUAUGGGUUGUAAACUGCUUUUAUGCGGGGAUAAAGUGAGGGAUGCAUCCCUUUUUGUAGGUACCGCAUGAAUAAGGACCGGCUAAUUCCGUGCCAGCAGCCGCGGUAAUACGGAAGGUCCGGGCGUUAUCCGGAUUUAUUGGGUUUAAAGGGAGCGUAGGCCGGAGAUUAAGCGUGUUGUGAAAUGCCGCGGCUCAACCGUGGCACUGCAGCGCGAACUGGUUUUCUUGAGUGCGCGCGACGCAGGCGGAAUUCGUGGUGUAGCGGUGAAAUGCUUAGAUAUCACGAGGAACCCCGAUUGCGAAGGCAGCUUGCGGGAGCGCAACUGACGCUGAAGCUCGAAG
rnacentral:rRNA from 1 species